CGAUUCCACCCUGACGCCCACCUAAGUCAUGAUCAUUCAGUUUUUUGUUAUGAAUGUGAUUUUAUGUAUAUGUGUGUGUGUCGGUUAUUAUUUGAUUUGAUCCCUUGAGGACGAACUUUUAUUAUUGACUGGUUUUGUUUUUGCUCGUUUAGUUUCGUGAACCAUUGAUAGAGCUGUUAACAACCCGGAUGAUAGGUUUGAAGUAUAAUUCUAUUGUGCCUUCAGCAAGGGGGGAUGUCAUGACCCAAAGGUCUGAUUUUUUGUGUGUGCUUCGGCACUCAAAUUAUCCCCGUGGGUUUACAGCUUCAUUGCACGGAGGAGUUCUGCUGCGCAGAGAACCCGCUUGCAAAGGAGUGUUCCCGCCACUUUGCAGCUAUCUUUGCAGGGUGCAUUUCCCUUUGCAACACAGAAAUGCACGGUGCAAAGAGUUCCCGCUCGUUGUAUGCAAAUUUGUGCCCUACAAUUGGCUAGUGCUAAAUUAUUCACACAUGGCGGCUAGCGAUUGGCCUGCUAGCCGUAUAAGAGGCUUGAGCAGUUUCCACCCAAGCCGAAGAGGACUCCGCAUCCUUCUCAUGGGGACUCUGGGUGUGCGCGACAGGGUAAUAGAAACCCUGUGUGUCGCUCAGAGGAGUUUGGCGGCCUGAUCCACCGCCCACCUCUUCCCGUCUUCGAACGGAGCCUACUAUAAGACGUAACGACGAGUUUAAUGCGCGCUUGUCCUGGACAUCUGGAGUUCUGUUUGUGUGGAGCCUAGCAAACUCCACGUGAUUGUUUGUGUUUUGUCUGCGUGGAGCCUAGCAACCUCCACGUGUGUUCGUGUUUUCUGUUGUAACCGCAACUCAAGCAAGUUCUCAGCCUGCACCGCGACCAUCUCGGUAUUGUCCCCUGGCAGCAGGACCUGUGUAACUCUGCUGUGCAGGGAAGGAGAGUAUUUAGAAGACUGUACACAGAAGAAAACAGUGUGCUGUAAACUUGGACUCCAACUCAAAGCAUGGACCUGGUCACUCUCAAAUUGGGCUUGUCAACCACAAAUGGAUUCAUCAGGCAUCUGACUAGACCUCUUAUGUGUACACCAUGAUGCAGAGAAUUGACAGUUGCCUAUACAGCUAGCGUGUUGUGGUUCUUCUGUGCUGCUUCUGUGCUGCAAAGUAGUGCGUGUGUGAGAAGAGGCAUGGGAGGCUGGCUUCCAAGGCUCUUCAAAUUCUCCAGUCCUCCCUUGUUUGGUGAGAUGGAGUAAGCAGCAUGGAGAGCAACUUCUGACAGUAGGUAAAGGAGGCGUUGUGUGAAUGACUCUUUCAUGCUGAAAGGGGGAAUCUUUGUUCCUAGAGAAAAUGUGCUGUAUACAUAAUGUCUGGCAUAAAACGUUGGUCCAGGGUAGAAAAACUGGCUAAGUAUGUGGGUGAGUUUUAAUGAGCUGCAUGAUCUCCUUCACCCCAGAAUGUUUAUGAAAUGUGCUUGUUCCCUAUGGUACAUUCUGGAGACAUACGCACAUCUUCCCUCAGCAGUAGUAAAAUAGGUCACACAGAUAUUUGAAUACUUAUUACAGCUUAGAAAGAUAUUGCUUCAUUAAAAAGUUUCACUGCAAGCUGGGACUACUGUGCUGUCAUAAUUUUGCUUUCAAGGAAUUUCUGAAGGUAGAACUAUCAAACUAUAUAUUUCUUUCUAAUUCACAGUGGCUAUCGGGAAUCAUCAGACUGUGUGAAAGGGUAUUUGAGAGGAGAUGAAGCAAAACCAAAUACGUGACACCAUAUUACAGAGUGCAGCGUUGCCUGUCAAAGGCAGCAUUGAGAUAUACUGUCGUACAGGAAUGGAGGCAGAAAGGAGAGUUUGCACACAGGCACAGCUUGCCUCCUUGAUGCUUCCACUUUGAUAGGUUACAAGGAUCUGUCCUUGUCCCAUUUCUGUUCUUUUAUAUAUUCUGAGAUAUUCCAGUAGUAGGUUCCACCUCUCUACUUUCCUACAUGAAUGUCACACAAUGGUGCAUCUGUGCAUCUCCCAUCUACCCACCUGUCCUAAAUGCAACAGCUUAAGUUUACAUCAUCAUAUACUAGAACUAAAUGUGUGAAAACUGAAGUCCUCCUAGAUAAAACCUCCCCUGUUCCAUAUUGUUUUGUCUAUAUUUACACAUUACUAAGCCCUUCACUUUAUCCCCAAAGCCAGAAGUCUUGGAGUUUGUCUAGAUUGUAAACUUAUUUUUUUCCCCCUCCAAGAAUGCUUUGCUUAUAAAGUUGCCCAUUAUCGUAUCUGGAUCAUUACCAAGAUUCAGAUUACUAUUAACACAGUUUCUGCUGAAAUCCUCAUUCAUGUUAUAACCACUAUUUGUCUUAGCUGCCAUAUUCCUAUUUUUCAAAGACUUCCUAUUCUCCCGGCACAUCUUCAUAUUCAUUAAUGUGCCUUAGAUACUGCAUAUUUAGUUUAGUACUUCCUUAAUAAAGUAUUAACUAAAUGUACAGCACCUAGAGUUACUGCACAAUUGCACUGGCUCACGGCUAUUUACUGAUGCUUACUGCACAUUAGCCUAAUAACACUUCGCAGUAAGCUGUUAGCAUGGUUUUUGCUGUGACACUCUACUGCCUGCA